rnacentral:rRNA from 1 species
GCCUACGGGAGGCAGCAGUGGGGGAUAUUGCACAAUGGGGGGAACCCUGAUGCAGCGACGCCGCGUGGGCGAUGGAGUACUUCGGUAUGUAAAGCCCUAUCAGCAGGGAAGAAAAUGACGGUACCUGACUAAGAAGCCCCGGCUAACUACGUGCCAGCAGCCGCGGUAAUACGUAGGGGGCAAGCGUUAUCCGGAUUUACUGGGUGUAAAGGGAGCGUAGACGGCAGCGCAAGUCUGGAGUGAAAUGCCGGGGCCCAACCACGGAACUGCUUUGGAAACUGUGCAGCUCGAGUGCAGGAGAGGUA